ACUUUCCCUCGUGCUGUUAACCUUUUUAAACGGAAAUGUUCUGAUAAAAUGACAUAAUGAGCGGGAAAAUUCCGCUUUAAAGGGGAAAUUUAAGUGUAAAGAGUCACUUGACCGUAACUAUAACCAAAAACAGAGCAGGCGGAGGUUAAAAAACACACAACAAAUUAUUCGGGCGAGUUAAUAAAUAAUGCUCGAGUGUAAAAGUUUAGCCGCGCGGCAGCGUUCACGUGAAGAGCCGCGAAUAUUCCCGUCAGGAAGUGGAGAGGAGGGGGGAGACAAGAGGGGAGGAAAAAUGAGGGAAUUCUCGCAAAGAAAUGGGAAAAAUGCGCGGAAUGUGGACUCUUGACAGUAAGCGCUAAUUGAUUUGGAUAGAGACGGCGGGGACACGCGGGCUUCACAGCAGCUGAACUAAGUUCAGACUCGGUCUUAGGGGAAAACAGCAGAAAACAGCUUACCUGGAGACGCUCUGAGACGCCCGGUAGACAGGUAGCAGCCCUCCUGUUGAAUACCAUCACUGCAUUUUAUUUUGUAUUUAUUUAUUUUUUCUGGAGGGGUGGUUCGUCCUCACGAAAUUCCCUCCGUAGUCUUUGUUUGUUUCCCUGCUGCCUGGUCUUCUUCCUGAAGCCGCUUGUUUGAAGCGAGAGGAGGGCAGGAAUUUCAGGAAUUAGCCGUGGUAUGACAUGAAGCCUGGAAAAAGCCAGAGAAAAAGACCAAGGGAGGGAAGGGGGGAGGGAGGGGAGGGGAGGCCUGACCGGUCACCACGUAGGGAGGAGGAGGAGGAGGGAGGAGGAUGGGGGGAGGACCCUCCUGGAUGAGAAAGGAAAGCAGGAGAACACCAGAAACCUUCACCAAGAACCAACUCCAUGAUGAUCUUCAUCAGACUGAUUCACCCUCAGCUGAGAUGACCUCAGCUAUGUCUGGGGGGAAAAAUGAGACAAAGAUGAUGCACUAAAAUUAGUGGACAUGUUGCUCAAGUCAGUGAAGUGUGGAAGGUGGAGGCUUGUGGACCCAGAUGUGAUUCUGUCGGAACUUUGGACAGCAAAGCUACAGGAGUAUGUGUUGAGCGCCAGCGACCCCUAGUGGAACGUACAGGCCAGCUCCCUCCUCUUCUCCAGAACUUGCUCCAGAGCUGCCUGCAGCUUGUGAGGAAGAAUGGAGUCUUCAUCAUCCAGCUGUAGAAAGAAAAUGUUAGCAACCCAAAGACAGCGUUCUACGCUUCCUAAACAU